rnacentral:lncRNA from 1 species
AGCGAGCAUCUGCUCCGCGUGUGCUUAUGUCUGAGGCUUCGGGCCCUUGAAAGUUGGAGUGUUCUAUUGUGGCCAGGAUACAAUUGGAGGUGGAGUCUGUGUGUGGACUCUGGGGAAGAGGGUUGGCGAGAAUGGUUCUGGUCAAGUCUCCCCCUCUUCUUUUCCUCUUUUUCUUUUUCUUCUCUGUUCUCCUGCCAAUUUAUAUUCUAAACUUUUGAGUCUGAACUCUUGGGAUCUUGGCUGAUUCAAGUGAUGGAGUCCAAGGCAGGCGAUGUAUUCCCACUUUUGGACAAUUCAUCUCCCCAGUGAGAAGCUUGUUGACCCAGCUGCUUCUCACCCGAUUGGAACAAGGAAGCUCAUACCCUCAAUGCUGUUGGCAGCCACUCUGUGGCCAUGAGAUCCAGCUUUAAAAUGAUCCUUUGAGUAACAGAGCAAAGAGGCAGAAAGAUACUUGGGUUUUGAUGACUUCAAUGGAUAUUGGAUCAGUCAAUACCCUGAAAUCUGUCCUCUGGAUUCUAGGUGAGUCAGUACAUCCUCUUCAUUUUUCAAACAAAUUUGAGCUGGUAUUGUCGUUUCUGUUGUAACAUAUGAUAGUUUAAAAAUAUGACCACAAAAUUUUCAUACUCUUCCUGUCUGGGGGAUUUUAACCUUUGUUAAAGGGUUUA